rnacentral:rRNA from 1 species
CAGCCGCCGCGGUAAUUCGUAGGGUGCGAGCGUUAAUCGGAUUUACUGGGCGUAAAGCGUGCGCAGGCGGUCCGUUAAGACAGGUGUGAAAUCCCUGGGCUCAACCUAGGAAUUGCGCUUGUGACUGGCGGGCUCGAGUACGGUAGAGGGGGGUGGAAUUCCUGGUGUAGCAGUGAAAUGCGUAGAGAUCAGGAGGAACACCGAUGGCGAAGGCAGCCCCCUGGGCCUGUACUGGCGCUCAUGCACGAAAGCGUGGGGAGCAAACAGGAUUAGAUACCCUGGUAGUCCACGCCCUAAACGAUGGGUGCUAGCCGUUUGGUGCGCGAUAGCGCUGAGUGGCGAAGCUAACGCGUGAAGUACCCCGCCUGGGGAGUACGGCCGCAAGGUUGAAACUUAAAGGAAUUGGCGGG